ACGUAGGUGGCAAGCGUUGUCCGGAAUUAUUGGGCGUAAAGCGCGCGCAGGCGGUUUCUUAAGUCUGAUGUGAAAUCUUGCGGCUCAACCGCAAGCGGCCGUUGGAAACUGGGAGACUUGAGUGCAGAAGAGGAGAGUGGAAUUCCACGUGUAGCGGUGAAAUGCGUAGAGAUGUGGAGGAACACCAGUGGCGAAGGCGGCCCCCUGGGCUAACACUGACGCUCAUGCACGAAAGCGUGGGGAGCAAACAGGA
rnacentral:rRNA from 1 species